rnacentral:rRNA from 1 species
CUACGGGGUGCACCAGUGAGGAAUAUUGCACAAUGGGGGGAACCCUGAUGCAGCAACGCCGCGUGGAGGAUGACGCAUUUCGGUGUGUAAACUCCUUUUAUAUGUCAAGAGAAUGACGGUAGCAUAUGAAUAAGCACCGGCUAACUCCGUGCCAGCAGCCGCGGUAAUACGGAGGGUGCAAGCGUUACUCGGAAUCACUGGGCGUAAAGGACGCGUAGGCGGGUUGGAAAGUCAGGUGUGAAAUCCUACAGCUUAACUGUAGAACUGCACUUGAAACUUCUAAUCUAGAGUAUGGGAGGGGGAGAUGGCAUUAGUGGUGUAGGGGUAAAAUCCGUAGAUAUCACUAGGAAUACCUAAAGCGAAGGCGAUCUCCUGGAACCUUACUGACGCUAAGGCGUGAAAGCGUGCGGAGCAAACACUACUAGAUACCCCGGUAGUC